rnacentral:rRNA from 1 species
UACGUAGGGUGCGAGCGUUAAUCGGAAUUACUGGGCGUAAAGCGUGCGCAGGCGGUUCGUUGUGUCCGAUGUGAAAGCCCCGAGCCUAACUUGGGAAUGGCAUUGGAAACUGGCGAGCUGGAGUGUGGCAGAGGGGGGUGGAAUUCCACGUGUAGCAGUGAAAUGCGUAGAGAUGUGGAGGAACACCGAUGGCGAAGGCAGCCCCCUGGGCCAACACUGACGCUCAGGCACGAAAGCGUGGGGAGCAAACAGG